GACGAACGCUGGCGGCGUGCCUAAUACAUGCAAGUAGAACGCUGAAGGGAGGAGCUUGCUCUUCUUGGAUGAGUUGCGAACGGGUGAGUAACGCGUAGGUAACCUGCCUUGUAGCGGGGGAUAACUAUUGGAAACGAUAGCUAAUACCGCAUAACAAUGGAUGACACAUGUCAUUUAUUUGAAAGGGGCAAUUGCUCCACUACAAGAUGGACCUGCGUUGUAUUAGCUAGUAGGUGAGGUAACGGCUCACCUAGGCGACGAUACAUAGCCGACCUGAGAGGGUGAUCGGCCACACUGGGACUGAGACACGGCCCAGGCUCCUACGGGAGGCAGCAGUAGGGAAUCUUCGGCAAUGGGGGCAACCCUGACCGAGCAACGCCGCGUGAGUGAAGAAGGUUUUCGGAUCGUAAAGCUCUGUUGUAAGUCAAGAACGAGUGUGAGAGUGGAAAGUUCACACUGUGACGGUAGCUUACCAGAAAGGGACGGCUAACUACGUGCCAGCAGCCGCGGUAAUACGUAGGUCCCGAGCGUUGUCCGGAUUUAUUGGGCGUAAAGCGAGCGCAGGCGGUUUGAUAAGUCUGAAGUUAAAGGCUGUGGCUCAACCAUAGUUCGCUUUGGAAGCUGUCAAACUUGAGUGCAGAAGGGGAGAGUGGAAUUCCAUGUGUAGCGGUGAAAUGCGUAGAUAUAUGGAGGAACACCGGUGGCGAAAGCGGCUCUCUGGUCUGUAACUGACGCUGAGGCUCGAAAGCGUGGGGAGCGAACAGG
rnacentral:rRNA from 1 species